GACGAACGCUGGCGGCGCGCUUAACACAUGCAAGUCGAACGGAAAGGCCUGCUUUCCCUUGUGGAUUGCGGGUACUCGAGUGGCGAACGGGUGAGUAACACGUGAGUGAUCUGCCCCCAACUUGGGUAUAAGCCUGGGAAACUGGGUCUAAUUCCCGAUAGGACUGCAGGGUGGUGCCUGUGGUGGAAAACGAUUUUCUAGUGGUUGGGGAUGAGCUCGCGGCCUAUCAGCUUGUUGGUGGGGUAAUGGCCUACCAAGGCGGCGACGGGUAGCCGGCCUGAGAGGGUGGACGGCCACAGUGGGACUGAGAAACGGCCCAGACUCCUACGGGAGGCAGCAGUGGGGAAUAGUGGACAAUGGGCGGAGGCCUGAUGCAGCGACGCCGCGUGGGGGAUGACGGCCUUCGGGUUGUAAACUCCUUUCGACCGCGAGGAAGCCACCUGGUUGGAAGGGUGGUGACGGUAGUGGUAGAAGAAGCACCGGCUAACUACGUG
rnacentral:rRNA from 1 species